UUUUUAGCCCAUAAAAUUUUAAUAAACACAUCUAUUAUGUUUUUUUGAGUUUACAAUUUUUUUUUACGUUUACAAUUUACUAUUAGUUAAUACAAUGAAAUAGAAAAAAUAAUUUUUUUGAAAACAUGGAUCUUUUUAUAAUGGAUGAAGUAUUUUUUUAUCAUUUUUAAAAAUCGUUCCAAAUAUUUAAUCUUUCUUUCAUUUGUUUAUGUCAUUGUUGAUAAAUUACUUUAAAAUCAAGGUGGUUAAAGUUCACUUCUCCGAUUAAUCCAAAACCGUGUGUUCGUCCACGUUCUACAAAACGCGGCCAGGGCUGAAGUUGUUACAGUUGUAGUAGCAGUGUGAGACAAUGAGAGCUAACAGUGCAAAGAAGGGAAGAUGGUAGAUGGAGAGGAUCAGCGCGUUUGUGUUCCCUGCUAAUAAGACAGAUAUGCGAUUCAUUACAGAAUGAGAAUGUUUGCAAAUUACAAAAGGUUAAAACCAACUAGCUAUCCUCUGCCAAAAAAUUAAAAACAAAGAAGAGCUAAAAGUAACUAAUCCCAGAGAGGGUGUUUCAGUCGUAAGUUAACCAUUGUAACAUGAGAUUCUGAAAUUUCUUACGGUUUCUCCUUCCUAGAAUGUCAUCUCGAACAAGUCUGUGGGUGGGUUUACGUUUAAACAAAGAUCUCCACAGGUGAAAGCUCAUCUUCAUGUCUCUCUUUCUAUAUUAUGAACUAUAUAAACCUAGAGAACAAAAAAACAGAAACAGAGUGAUGAGUCUUUGUAGUCCUGUGGGAUACCGAGAUCAUCAAAGAGGAAUGAAAACAUGUAAAGACUCUCAGGGUGGUGUGAGAAGAAGUCCAACAGAAAGCUGAUUCACAGAACAGAACGUUUGCUGCAACUUUAAUAUAUAAACUGAAGGAAGAAAGCUGAUUCACACAACAGAAAGUUUACUGCAACUUCGAUGACAUUUAUUCACAACGGUCAAUAAUUAAAAUGCUCUGUAUAAAAGAGAUAAGCAAAAGAAAGACAGUUUGUCGUGGGGAAGGGAGAACCACACCAAAUUGGGCGAAUGUUUCAACCUACAUACCAAAAAGAAAUCAUAAUAUGUGAAAUCGAAAACAUCUUUGCAGAAUUCAUUAGUUAUUGAGAAUUUGGGUGAUUAAACAAUAUCUAAGAACUCAAAAACUUAUUAUACAGAUGAAUCAGAAGAAACAACGUCGCCAGGAGAAGCUCAACAGAGGAAUAGGGUUACGACGGCGUUAACAACUUUUUCCUUUUUUGCUUUUUUUUUUUGUCUAUAAAAAUUAAUUAUUUUUUUUAUUUUUUUUUCAGAAACUUAUUACGACGUGACGAAUUAUAAUUGGAUGGUAGUUUCACCUUAGGGGGUGAACCCAAGAAAAACUCAAGAAAUAAUAUACAUUUUUGUACAUACACAAGGCACUAGGAGAUUUAUCAACGUUACCUGAUUUUUCCCAAGCGUAAUAAUACAGAAAGAGAGAGGAUUCUUGAGAAUCAGCUUGUCUUGGCAGAUAAGGUUUUAGAUGAAGAUAUAAUACACUUGAUAGAACAGAAAAAGAAAGCAUCUCUCUUAUACUUGAAAACCAGUUUGUCUCUGCAGAUGUUGUGACAUGCAAGAUAUAUCGGCCGAGAAAGACUGCUAUUGGAUGCAGUCUCAAUCUCAAAACCCUCUUAUUGAUCGUAAUGCCAGGUUUCAGAUAUGGGUAUUUACCUAUUGCGCAUUCAACACAUAUAACGGUUUUGCAUUCGGUGCAUCCAUAGAGAUCCUGGUCACUCGGGUAGAGACCCAUGCAAUACGGGUAGUCAUCUUCUAUUGUUAUUUCACAUAUUAUACAACUCAACCCUGACCACAUGCAUGAUUGAUUCAGCAAAACCUAGGGUAAGGGGAUGAGGGUCAUAUUUGUACUUUACCAAUACCGGCAGAGUUGCGCGCUUCGGUUUCAAAGUGAAGUCGCAUUGCUUACAACAUGCACCACUGUCUGUUAGAUGGAGAGGGUGUUCGUGCGCUCUAUUGUACAAUGGAUCAGAAAGGGAAGCACACCUUGCAUCCAUUGUAAACACAAUCUUUUUCGUAGCACCGAUACAUGAAGCCACAUGACGCUCGUCCACAUUUAGAACAACAGAAGAACCCUUCUUUGAUGUUCAUGAAGUUCACUUCUAGGUUUAGCGUAUGGUUAUGUGUCUCUGGACGAUUUUUUGUCUGAUUGGACUCCAAUGAUAUGGUCGAACAUCCUAUGUGAAAUCGAAAAUCACAAACACAACAAUGAACAUGCGUAGACCCAAUUGGAACACGUUUUUUUCACAAAUAAUGCAUUUUUUAACAGAACGAUAAGAAAUAUAAUUUUGUGGUGGACGAGACGUUUCAAAAAGGUGUUGAUGAUGAAAAAUGAUUUUGAGGUCUUCCAUAAGGGUUCGUUUUUUUAUUAUUAAGUAACUUGAACCUUUAUUUAUAGACAACGACAUUCAUUAUAUUUAUAUAGAAUUCAACCUUGUGUGAAGAUGGUAUCAUUGGCUUUAAGAUUGCUUGCAAUAAAAGUAAAUUAAUUGGUUGUUAAUUUUUAUAACAAAUUUAACUUGAAAUCUGUUCAAAAAGAGCAUUCCUCGUACCUGUAGAUAUGCUUCCUCAUGAUUUAAGGACUUAAUUGGUUGUUAAUUUUUUAUACACCAUGAGAGGGACAUGCAUGCCAGAAGAGAGAACUUACUAAUACACCAUGGCUAGCUUAUGUUUUUUUUUGGGUCAAUGCUUAUGGUUAAUUAGAAAUGAAAUUUGGAAGAAAAGAUAGAUUUUAUUUAUGUCAAUAUGUAAAUUUUCUGCUAGUCAACAAGACACGAACUUUAUACACAAGGACUAGGAGAAUAAUUAACGUUAUCUGAUUUUUCCCAAGCAAUCAAAACAUCCCAGAGGCUUGGUCUAGAUAUUUCAAAUGGGUUUUGGAUAGAGAGGUAAUAAUAAAGUUGAUAGAACAUAAAGAGAGAGUAUUUUUUGAGAAUCAGUUUUUCAUGGCAGAUAGGGUUUUCGAUGAAGAGGUAAUACAUUUUUUUUUUGUAAACUAAGAGGUAAUACAUUUGAUAGAACAAAAAGACACAUCGUCUCUCUUAUUCUUGAAAACCAGUUUGUCUUGGCUGAUACAUUGACAUCUGUGAUAUAUCGGCCGACAAAUCCUGUUGGAUACAUUCCUGGUAGUUUAUUAUUACUUCACAUACUUUAUAAUUCAACGCCCACCUUUUUUUUUUUUUUUUGUGACACAUACUUCAUUAAUUAAAUAAAGAAAGGCCUCAGGCCCAGAGUUAGCCCAUGAAAGGGUCCAAAUACAAGGAUGAAGAGAGAGACUGUUUUGCCAAGCCAUCAGCAUCAACAUUCAUCGACCUAGAGAAGAAACUAAAAGUGAUACCGACAAAAGCAGAGGAGAUGGUUUUGAUAUCCUUGAUGGUGUUAAUAGCUCGGAUGAGCGUUGAGUUGUCAGAGAAACAUCUGAGCUUUCUAAACCCAAGAGUCUCUGCGGAGAGUAGAGCCGAUCGGAGAGCCAAAGCUUCGGCGAUGAGGGGCGAGCUGAUCUGAUCCUUUGUUGUAGUUCCUUGAUUGAUCCGCGAUCCCGUCGAGUCCGUGAAUAUCCACGCCAAACCAGCCCUCAUCGAUUGAGUAUUCCAUGCCGCAUCUGUUCUACAUGUCACUACAGAGGAUUCUCCCGUCGUUUGAGUUCGGUUUUUGAUCGUCUGAGAAGUAGUUUUAUCUUCGAAGACCAGGUGGUUGCGUGCCUUCCAGAUUGCCCAACAUAUCCAAGGAAGCAUUGUGCUCGUGAUUCCUGUUGGUGGUAGACAGGUCGCCUGUUUGAAUCUGACGACUGCUUCCGUAAAUUGUGUCCCUGCAGCUAGGUGAACUGCUCGUUUGAAUGGGAUACAAUUCCAGACUUCUUUAGCAAACUGGCAGUGGAAAAAGGGUUAGCGGAUGGCGGUGGAGCGAGUGUUCUCCAUCUUCCGAGGAAGACUUGCACAACUGUCAUGGAGUGCAAAAUCACAUUCUUUACAACCCAAGUCAAUGAGAAGGAUGCAUGCUUGACAUACUCGUCCAUCGUCCACUUCAUUAUUGACGCAAAGUCCCAUCAGGUCAUCUACCUCCACCAAUGGUGACGACUCAAUAUCUUCAGAAUUAUUAAUUCCUUCAGGUUCUCGUUCCAUAUAUUUGCCAUCCCAAAUCUCUUUACGUACGUGUUGCACAAUAUGAAUGUAGUUUAUAAUCACACGACUUGUCCAUACAAAUAUAUCCUCCACAUUCAUAAACAACCGGUUUAUCACAUAUUCGGCAGUUCUUAAAAUCAAGAACUUGAAAAGUUUGAAACAAGCGAUGUCGGUGACUGGUGAGCUUCAUGACCUUUGGUAAAUAGAUAUAGUUUCUGUGAACAAAGAAAUUGCAUUGCAAACAUCCGUACAUAUUCAUCUUCUCCUUGUAUACCCCACAAGCAGCACAGUUGAAGGUGUUCAUUUUGCGAAUGAAGGUGAGUAUUGUGCCAAUUGCCAAAUGAGUAUUGUUAUAUCUAGCUAAUAGUCUGCCUAGUUAAGCCUUAUCUUGCAAACGUUGUCUCAAAAACUUAACACAAUGCACACGUGGCUUCAAUAGUGACUCAUUAAUCAACCCAAAUAAUUCCGGGGAUAUAUUUUAUUUUCGGUAGUACCUCGUUGCUGUAUUUAGUCUCCCAAACCUGUUCAAAUUCAUGUCAUUCAUAUUUUCAAUGACUCCAAGUCCAAGUACAUCUAGUUGUACUUGUCUCUGUACAUUUCACGAUAAGUAGGAAUCAUAACUAAGUGUGUUAUUAUAUUCAAAGCUAUAUCCUCCUUUAAACAUUUUAAUUUAUAAAUCAUAUUUAUACAAAACCCAUAUUGGUUUAUUUUGUUUACUUGUAAUCAUGGAUAUUUCAGAUUUAUAAAAUCACAUGCAGAAUUCAGAGUAAUCUUGCUUUUAUUGGUUCUAGAAUCAAGAUUUAGAAGGGAAUGGUAGGUGAGCAUGAGAUAUCAAUGCAUCUGAAUUGCUUGAUUUCGUUUGGGUGACAGGUGAGUAGGGGACGAUGACAGGUGAGCUAUGGAAUACCAGAAAUGGUUUACAUGAUUUUGAAACUUUCUCGAACUUGUGAUGAACCAAUGAAAAGUCUCCACAUGGGGACUCAACACAAGAAUCACAUAUAAUAAGUGAAAUGUAUUGAUAAUAAAGAUCCUAAUGGCAUUGCAUCUAUGACUCUAUCUUGGGGUUGUUGUUGUGCAAGCCAGCUUUGCAGCAUUAUGCUCUGUGACUCUUAAUUGUAGUUUUCCUAUGGCUUUUGACUUAAAAUCGUUGUUUGGGUUUAUUCAUUUAGUUAUUAUACAUUUCUGAUUUCGAAAAAUGAUUUUGUUAACUUACAAAUGCAAGCACAUGGUCAAGAUUUAGUGUACUGAUCAUUGAUCAAUUGGUUUCUCUCUCGUGAGUAUCAUUCUUUACUCUUAUAUACAUUAUAUUCUUAUUUUAUUUUUAAUCAGUCUCGAAUUGUUUCAGUCCAACGGUUUUGCAUUAUUGUGAUGAAGCUCCUGUGGUCAAAUGGUUAGAGAUCGUUUGGCAUUUUAGGGUAAUCAUGUAUACUUAGUGGAUAGCUGGUGUAAUUAACGGAAAAUGACGACAUAUCAAUAUUGAUUCAGCUUUGGCUAGUUAGUUCUAAAGAAGCUGAUGAUGUAGUUUUUCUUUUUACAUGUGCGUUUGCUACAACUUAAAUUAUUCUAUGCUUACAUUUGCGUUUUUCAUAUAGAACAAUUAGUUCAUCCAUUUUGUUUAUUGUGAUGAAGUGUUACUUCUUUAUCAAAAGAACGUCAAAACUUAAAACAUGUGUAUUAUAACAUAUUUAGUGUUUAGUAAGUUAGUAACCAACUACUAUAAUCUUUAGUGAUAUAUUGGAAAAAGCAACUUUAUGGACCCGUAUAAUUAUUUGCCUUAAAGGCUAAACCAGAUCAUAAUCUCAAUAUUAAACUGGUACAACUACUAAACAUGUUUACAUAUCUGCAUGAUUAACAUCGAUUAGCUGUAGUAUUUGUGUUUAUGCGGUCUUUAAACAAAUUAAGCCUCUUAAUUAAUUUUGGAUGUAUAUGUUCUCCUUCUAGAUCUGAUCACCUUGUGAUUUUUCAACUGAAAGGCAUGGAUUGUGCAUAUGGUCGCACCUAUUCUAACUAAGAUGUCUCAAUAAUUUAAAAUCAUGAUUAUCUUAUAAUUAUAUAAUUAUGUGUACAAUUUGAAUUUUAGUAGUAUAAAUAACUACGUGAUUGGUCUAGCUAGUGAUCAUCACCACAACUAGCACCAAGUUCUUGAUGUCUUUGUGGAUUUGUUUUUUUCGUUGCUCAAAAAGGGACACUCGUCCAUGUAAAUUUAAUAGUUCAGAAGAUCAGCGUUCCUUUCAAUUUUUCACUUUCUCUUCUAAUUAAAUCAUCUUUUUUUCUGAAUAGUAUUCCUUCCGUUCAUAAAAGAUUCAUGUUAUAGUUUUUAACACUUAUUAAAAAAAUAUUUAAGAUUAUAUUUUUUAAUACAUUAUUUUUCUUAAUUAACUAUUUCUAAUAAUUUUUAACCAAUGAGAUUUUAUUAAACAUAAUUGUAUUUUUUAAAAAAUACAAUUUUUCAUUAAUUAAUGUAUUGAAAAUAUAAAAAUAUAUCUUUUUAAAAUAAUUUUUUUUUAAAAAUAUAAAUCUUUAAAAAACAGAGGGAAUACUUUUAUUGAUCUUUCCUUUCCAAUAGACAGAGCUGGACAUGUGGGCAUUGUUAUGAAAUUUUUGAACGGCCCCACCUUCGAGGGAUCCCACUUUUAAAAAAUUCAUGUGUAUUUUUUUUUUGGAAUUCAAAAAAAUCAUGUGUAUAUGUGAAAAUCUUAAAAAAAUAGGAAAAAGGAAAAAUGAAAAAGAGUGAAAGAUAAAUGUGUUCGUAGAUAUUAACGCACACUAAUCAACAAACAAACUUAAUGUCUAUAAUCUCUAUAACCCUUCAUAAAGGGAAUGGACAGCAUCUACUCACAUUUUGGGAUUGCAAUUAAGCUUAUUUAAUUAAAUACUCAUGGUCUAUACACACUAACAAACAAAAUGAUAUUAAUAAUAAUGUUAGUGUUUGCUUAGUUAAGUUGUAUUUAAGGUAUAAUAAAUAUAAAUACCAACUCUAAAAUAAAAAGUAAAUAUUUUUUUUAGUUUAUAAAAAUGAUAAAAAUAUAUUACAUGAAUUUUAUAUUAUAACUUAGAUAUAAAUAAAUGGUAUACUAAAAAAAUAUGAAUUUAUAAAAUAAAUAUUUUUAAAAUUUAUAAAAAUAUUAGAUAGUUAAUAAAUAUGUUUUGAAUAGGGCCCCGUAAAUUUCAGGACCGGCUCUGCCAAUAGACAUGGCCGGCUUAAUGGGCAUGGAAAAUAGUGUACCCACCCAGAACCCAUCUAAGGGCUCCAUAUAUUUUAUUUUAUUUUUAUAAUAAGGGCCCAGAUUUUUAAUUUUGAUACUUUAGUGUAAAAUUUUGAUAAUAUUUCGCUGACAUAGAAAUCUAAGUUUUAAAAAUUUAAAAGUUGAAAACAAAAAAUAAAAAUUUAGUUACUUUGCUUUAAAAAAUUAAUAUUAUUUUUAAAAAUAUUUUAAUUAUAAUAUCAAAAUUAAUUAAUUAAGAGGCCUAAAAAUUAUUUUUGCCCAGAGGCACUACUUAGCCUUAAGCCGGCCCUGCCAAUAGAAUGACUGUAAUUUUCUUGGAUAAACAUUUAUAGUGUUUUGACUUCAUAUUAUUUAAACUUGCUUUGUGAUUACUUUUCUUAAUGCUAUAAGCUUGCGGUUCAAGUUGUGACAUCAAGAGAUUGACCAACCAUCAAAAUGCUAAAAAAGUCUGGAUAUUGUCAUCUUUCCUUUUGACUGAGACCUUAAAAUCUCAUGAUUUGUAUAAUGAUUCUCUAGCUUAGAACUAGUUUUUGUUUCUAUUAUUUUGUGAGUAAUAUACUUAUUUUUUUGUAUCUAUAAUGUCAGUAAAUUUGUGUAAUUUUAUUGGUUAAAAAUAAUAGUAGUAUUUUUUUUACUGUUUGGCCACAUACGUUUGACUAAUACAGUAUAAGUAUAAGGCCGUUAGACCAAGCUUCAAAAGUAGAUGAACUAACCUUAUAAAGUUGGGCCUCCAGAUGAUACACAUGCACAUAUCAAAACUAUAUAUGGAAGAAAAAAACUAUAUAUAUAUGGCAAAAGACAGUAUCUUAUAAUCUUGAUAUCACAUAUAUCUGCAAAAGUAGAUGAACUAAAUAUGAAUAACAAAUAAAAAACUGUAUGACCUAGUGGAACAUUUCAUUAAUUAGGACAUAACCAUAUAUAAGUUCGGGUCCUAUAUUGAAAUUGAUAUCCAUGAUGUAACUGAUGGUGUCGAUGGAUGACAAUAAUGACUUUGUCUUAUAUGUAUUAUAUAUGUUCUACCACCUCAACACAAUAAUAGAUAGUUUGAUAUUUACUUAUUUAAUUAAUUUGGUUAGUUUUCACUUAGUCCAAUAUUAAAUUCUCGUUAAGAAAAUAAAAAUCAAAUGUUUGAACCAGUAAACGUGUAAAAUUACGACAUCGUAUUUAUUUGGUAGAGAUGUUCUUGUUUAACUGACUCUUUCAAAACUAGUAGACGAACUUUGCAGCUUACACCUUAAUUUAACUAGCGAGAUGUCUCUAACAAAAUAAAGAAAAUAACAUAUUGACAUUUAUGAAGGUGUAAGGUAAAAUCAUAACUGCAAAGUUGGUCUACUAGUUUUGAAAGAGUCAGUUAAACAAGAACAUCUCAACCAAAUAAAAUCCGAUUGCGUAAUUUUACACGUUUACUGAUUCAAACAUUUGUUUUUUAUUUUCCUAACGAGAAUUUAUUAUUCCAUUCGUUUCAAAAUGUUACAUAUUUUAGAAGAAAAAAAAUUAGUUUUUAUAUUUUUAAUGCAUGUUUUAUUAACUAAUUGCAAACUUUAAAAAACUUAAUUGCACUUAUUAGGUUUUUAUUGGCUUAAAAUUAUGGAAAAAAUAAUCACAAAAAAUUAUGCAAAUUUAAUGUGUUUUAUUAAAAUGUGUAAAAAAUUAAAAUAUGUAACAUUUUGAAACUGAAGGAGUAUUGGACUAAAGUGACUCGAUCUAAAGUGUACGGUUAAAUCUAUAAGGUAGAAUAUGUCAACUGACUUAAGAAAUUACAGUUAUGACUUUCUAACAUAAAACACAUCAAUAUCUAAAUAACUUAUAUAUGUAUAAUUAAUUUAUAUUUUAUUUGCAUAUGUAUAAAAUAAUAUGUUUUCACUACAAAAAAACAAGCAAUUUAAUGUUCUUCCCUCGAACAUGGUCAUUUUAAAAUCGUAUCUGCAUAUAUAAUCAAUGUAUAUAUUUUCAUUUAUAUAUAUCUUGUACCAUAUAUAAACACAAACAUAACAUAUUAAAAGCAAUCAAAUCAUAAAAAUCUAGUAUUUAUGAUCAAUUAUUAUAGUACUCCAUAUAAGUUGUACAUAGAUGGUUGAGUAUAUUAAAUGGUAUCCAUGCAUGUAAAGUUCACAACAAAUCCUUUUUUUUUAAUUACUCCUUGGUCUUGAUUAUCUAUAAAUAUAAUAAUAAUUAAUAUAAUUUUUUUUUAUUAAUUAUGAUAGCUAAAAUAGUAUAUAUAUUGUAAAAUCUUAUAAAAUAAUACUCCUUUCAUUUUAAUGUAUGAUGUCUUAUACAGUUUUUGAUGUUUCAAUAUGUAAGAUGUAUUUAUUUUUAGGUAACUUUUAAUUUUAUUAAAAACCGUGUAACCAAUAGUAUUUUAUUCAUUAUUAUGUAAUUUUCUGGAUAGUUUAUUUUAUUUUUAAUGAUAUUUUAGACAAAAAAUAAUUUUCUUCACUGUUGUGCAUAUGUUAAAAACAUCAUAUAUGUUGGAACCGUUCAUUUCCUCCAUUUAAAAUUAAAUAUCGUUUAAAGUCUUUGCACAUACUAUAAAUAGUUACAUGUUUAGUUUUGUCAUCUUUAGUUAUUAAAUUUUAUCAUAUUUUAAAAUGAUAAAAUUUAAUUAGAAGUAAAAGAGAUAAAUUAAUGUAAAAUAUUGCAUUGAAGUCAAAAAUAAAAUUUAUUUU